GUUUCCGUAGUGUAGUGGUCAUCACGUGCGCGUAACACGCGCAAGGUCCCCAGUUCGAUCCUGGGCGGAAACA
rnacentral:tRNA from 1 species